GAUGAACGCUGGCGGCGUGCCUAAUACAUGCAAGUCGAGCGAACAAACGAGGAGCUUGCUCCUCUGACGUUAGCGGCGGACGGGUGAGUAACACGUGGAUAACCUACCUAUAAGACUGGGAUAACUUCGGGAAACCGGAGCUAAUACCGGAUAAUAUAUUGAACCGCAUGGUUCAAUAGUGAAAGACGGCUUUGCUGUCACUUAUAGAUGGAUCCGCGCCGGAUUAGCUAGUUGGUAAGGUAACGGCUUACCAAGGCAACGAUGCGUAGCCGACCUGAGAGGGUGAUCGGCCACACUGGAACUGAGACACGGUCCAGACUCCUACGGGAGGCAGCAGUAGGGAAUAUUCCGCAAUGGGCGAAAGCCUGACGGAGCAACACCGCGUGAGUGAUGAAGGUCUUCGGAUCGUAAAGCUCUGUUAUUAGGGAAGAAAAAAUGUGUAAGUAACUAUGCACGUCUUGACGGUACCUAAUCAGAAAGCCACGGCUAACUACGUG
rnacentral:rRNA from 1 species